AACUUUAAUUUAUGUUUUAAAUGCCAUAUAAAAUAGUACAUAAUCUACUAGCAAGUUUGUUUGGAAAUUUGUAGACAUACAUCUAGAUUAUUUACACUUUACUCUGCCACUUAUUUUAUUAUGUUACAAUAAACACAUAUACUAGUAUAUCAAUUAUUGCCAUUUAGUUUAUGAUUGUGUACAAUAAACACAUAUAUAAUCAUUAUUGCCCAUUAUAUACAUGCACAAUUAAUGUGUUAAAUAUAAUAACCACUGUGUGCUUGAUAAUUUCUUACAAGUCAGGAUAAAUAAAUACUACAGACACUAAAGGUUAAGAUCAGAUAAGACUAAAGAUAAACACUUGUGUUUCCCUCUAUCUGAUGCAUGACUAAUCUCCUGAUGGGGCAUUCUGGUAUACUGACCAGACUGUUCCAUGUGAUUAUUAAGGUAGUCUGAGCAGUAUACAUUUCAAAACAAUCAGUUAAGAAGGUAAUUGACACUUUGAUUCUCUUUCAAAAACUUAUUAUGAUUUUCAAAUUCUACAUUUACUUAUCAUUUGAUAUGUUUUUACACUCAAUAAAUGUAAAAAUAAAAUGGUGGGACUGUUUUGAUAUUUUUGGAUAAUCCCUGUUUCACAUAAUGAUGGACCUGUCCGUCCAGUUAAACUGUUGAACAAUUUGAAAUCUCAGAUAUAUGGGUCAGCUGCUUAUUGAAUGCCACCACAAAGGAUCUUGCAAAAAUUUUGGAGAUUACAUCUUGUUUUUGAAUGUUGUGUACAUAUUUUGGAAUUUUCAAAGAAAACAUUUAUCUAAAUGUGACAAGAUUGUGGAAAUGUUUGGUUGUUGUAAAUGAACUAAGAGUGAACUGAGGGAGGAAGAUUAUACAAAUGAAUCAUAGUAAAAAGUUUCAGACUGGGCCAUUGCAGACUGUGAAAAUUUGCCAACUUAGUGUUUAUAGUAUCAGCAAUAUUUCACUACCUUGGAGUCUGAAAAGGUGAACGCAACUACAAGAUGUGCCUAUAGGAAACAUUUGCACAGGACGUUAGCUGACAUAAUGAGGAAACAUUGUGGUUUUGAUAAUCAGUUUGAAAGAAAGUUUUGGUUUGUGACAGACAACAUAAUAGUUGAAAUCAAGGUGAUCAAAGAAAGCAGCAGUACCUACAAAAGUCAUGUACAGAUACUUGCACAAUAAAAAAGCUGUUUGUGACACUUGAAGUUAAUGUAGGAUGUAUUCUGUAUGUAGACAAAAAGCAUAUCUUUUAUUUGUGAAGAAAAACAAACUGUGAUAAUUUUCAUAUCUUAACUUGGAUUAUUGAAAUACAAUUAGAUGUGAUUUUAAGAGAAUAAUCAUAUAAAAAUACAUGUGUGUUUACUCAUAAGCUUAUA